rnacentral:rRNA from 1 species
UACGGGGGGGGCAAGCGUUGUUCGGAAUUACUGGGCGUAAAGGGCUCGUAGGCGGCCAACUAAGUCGGAUGUGAAAUCCCCAGGCUUAACCUGGGAACUGCAUCCGAUACUGGAUGGCUUGAAUUCGGGAGAGGGAUGCAGAAUUCCAGGUGUAGCGGUGAAAUGCGUAGAUAUCUGGAGGAAUACCGGUGGCGAAGGCGGCAUCCUGGACCGACAUUGACGCUGAGGAGCGAAAGCGUGGGGAUCAAACAGG